UAAGGUAGCGAAGAGUGGACACCAGGACGCCACCGUUUUUUUUUAAUAGACACCCCUAAAUUUCUAGUACUGCACUACGUACAGCCCAAUUGUACCCAGAAUUUGGCAUCGUUGUUGGCUGAAGAGGACGCAUAGGAGGGCCCCAGAAAACAAUAAUUCAAUAAGAGAACAUAUCUUGAGGAGAAUGCACAUUUAAUUGAAAAUCGAUCCAGAAAAUGCCAGUUGUGGCUUCCAUGUACAUAUAUUUUACCUCUUCCAUUACUACCCAAAUUGAAUCAACAAACAACAAAGUUUUCUAAAUCCAAUCUACGUGUUGACAUUUCGCCAAACAGGUCCGAUGAUUCCAAAUCCGAUGCUUUUUACCUUUCACAUCAAAUUGCGAAAGCGAGUUACCGUCAAUUAUUCCGAUUUCAACCCAUCUAUACAUCCAGUAUACCUAAGCCAUUUUACUCGUGUAACGUUUUGAUGUAUUUUUAAAAUAAAUUUGAAAAAUAUUAUUAAAACAAAAAAAAAAUGAAUUGCCUAACUUUGCUUUGCGCAUAUGUAAAUAAGAUUUAAAGCUAUUUUUAUAUUAUAAUCGAUAAUUUCAAUCAAAAGAACCUUUUAGCAUUUAAAGAACCAUUCACCAUAAAGCCUUUGUUUGCUAUAAAAUUUUAAGCUUUACUGAGAUAAAAGCUCUAGUAGUGAGUAGGAUUAAAUGUAGAUGGCCCGCGAAAAUUGUAUUAGGUAAAUCUCGUCUAAACAACUUAUACUAGUAUGCGUGAAAAGUAAAAAAGCAUGAGAUAUCAUUUUUAGGGCUGUUAAAAGAUUUAGAAUCGUCCAUCUUUCACUUUCAUCUAAACUCGGCUCUGAAGCAGAAGUUAGUUCCCGUGUUCUAGUGAUUUUUUUCUUUUCCAAUUAAGUUACGUUGUUACGAUCCAGAUUUAUCCACGAGGAGCGAAAACUCUGCUUCGUGCGUGUUCGCCCCACUUAUAAAAAGCGUCCGAUAGACGCUUUUUCGUGGGAGCUAGAAGCUCUGAUUCAGAAAUCCCCCAUUGUUCUGCACGCUGUGCACCGUUGGUCCGUGCCGGUCCGCCAUUACGGUAGUUAAACGGGAGUAGAGGUUUUUCCGACCUGCUGAGAUUCCGAAAGGAGGAGACAGUAGAGUUUCGGACCACGAGCCGACGCCCUAUCCCGCAACUUUAGUUCGACCCUCGACGCACGUAGACCCGGCCUAGCUACGCUACUGCUGAGCCAACCCGAGCACCCCUCAUCUGGUGACUCCGUCGGCCGUCGAACAUCGCAUGCAUCCGGCGUAUCCCUCGGCGACAAGUAACGUAACGCCUCGAGCUCCAGUAGCAUAAACCCUGCGCAGGUAUGUCGACAUACAUGGCCAUGUUACACACCACAACACACACACUGUACAUAUCACCCACCCGCAUGAAUCUUUCCGUAAAUAGAAAAUGAAUACAUAGAUGAAUUCAAGUUAA